GAUGAACGCUGGCGGCGUGCCUAAUACAUGCAAGUCGAGCGAACAGACGAGGAGCUUGCUCCUCUGACGUUAGCGGCGGACGGGUGAGUAACACGUGGAUAACCUACCUAUAAGACUGGGAUAACUUCGGGAAACCGGAGCUAAUACCGGAUAAUAUAUUGAACCGCAUGAUCAAUAGUGAAAGACGGUUUUGCUGUCACUUAUAGAUGGAUCCGCGCCGCAUUAGCUAGUUGGUAAGGUAACGGCUUACCAAGGCAACGAUGCGUAGCCGACCUGAGAGGGUGAUCGGCCACACUGGAACUGAGACACGGUCCAGACUCCUACGGGAGGCAGCAGUAGGGAAUCUUCCGCAAUGGGCGAAAGCUUGACGGAGCAACGCCGCGUGAGUGAUGAAGGUCUUCGGAUCGUAAAACUCUGUUAUUAGGGAAGAACAAAUGUGUAAGUAACUAUGCACGUCUUGACGGUACCUAAUCAGAAAGCCACGGCUAACUACGUG
rnacentral:rRNA from 1 species